GCCAAACAGCUAGCUCAAUUACCCAAUAACUAAACAAUAUAAAUAAAACAAAAUAAGCCUAACACCAAAAAUUAAAUCAUUCUUUUACCUUAGUAUGGGCGACAGAAAAGGUUACACCUGGAGCAAUAGAAAAAGUACCGCAAGGGAAAGCUGAAAGAGAAAUGAAAUAACUUAUAUAAGCACCAAAAAGCAAAGAUUAAAUCUUGUACCUUUCGCAUCAUGAUUUAGCCAGUAUAUCCAAGCAAAGAGACCUUUAGUUUGAAACCCCGAAACCAAGUGAGCUACCCCGAGACAGCCUAUUAAGGGCCAACCCGUCUCUGUGGCAAAAGAGUGGGAAGAGCUCCGGGUAGAGGUGACAGACCUACCGAACUUGGUGAUAGCUGGUUGCCUAAGAAGUGAAUAGAAGUUCAGCCUCGUACUCCCUGAAUCAAAAGAUAUAAAAAGAUAUUAGAGGGAAAUAUAUGAGAGUUAGUUAAAGGGGGUACAGCCCCUUUAACAAAGGACACAACCUUUCCAGGAGGAUAAAGAUCAUAAUACAUAAGACAUCCUGUUCUAGUGGGCCUAAAGGCAGCCAUCUAAACAGAAAGCGUUAAAGCUCAGACAGAAAUAAGUUUAUUAUUCCGACAAGAAAUCUUACUCCCCUAAAUAUUAUUAGGCCAGCCCAUGCCCACAUGGGAGAGACUAUGCUAAAAUGAGUAACAAGAAGGCCAGCCCUUCUCCAAGCACAAGUGUAAGCCAAACCGGACCGACCAUUGGCAAUUAACGAACUCAACCCGAGAGAGUAAUGUGUAUUACAACGAAACCAGGAAGAACCCACAAUUAACCCAUCGUUACCCCCACACUGGCGUGCUAUUAAAGGAAAGACUAAAAGAAGGGAAAGGAACUCGGCAAACACAAGCCUCGCCUGUUUACCAAAAACAUCGCCUCCUGCAACACAACCAAGUAUAGGAGGUCCAGCCUGCCCAGUGACUACAAGUUCAACGGCCGCGGUAUUUUGACCGUGCAAAGGUAGCGCAAUCACUUGUCUCUUAAAUGGAGACCUGUAUGAAUGGCUAAACGAGGGCUUAACUGUCUCCCCCCUCCAGUCAGUGAAAUUGAUCUACCCGUGCAGAAGC
rnacentral:rRNA from 1 species